ACCAUUAUUGAAGUUACGUUAAUGGAAAAAAAAUUGGGCUGCAAAUCCUAACUGGAUCUUGGCUUAUUUAUCCUUAGCAAAUAUGCAUCACAAAUCAUCGUUGUUGCCCUGAUUUAACAGAAAUCUAAUUCAAGUGCACAAAAUCGGAGAUUCCAGAACUACAAGGAGUCCAUGAAAACUUCAGUUUCAAUAAAUAAAGGCAAACAGUAGAACUGGAAUCAAUGAUGCCAGAAAUUCCUGGGCAUAGUUAUCGGUGACAUCAACCUUCCAAGGAUUUUUAGAGCUGGAAGCUGUAAAGGAACUGGAGAGAUCAAGGAAAGAACAUUAUUAGCAUUUUCCCCAAAUUAAGAAGAUAGGAAUGCAACUAUGUGGUGUCACCACAAAGUAGAAUUUUGGGCAAAAUUUGGGGGCAAGAUGGGGUUGUACAGUAUUUUAUCCCUAUUAUCUGGGACAAUAUUUACUGUUAUGUAUUACAGACCACUCAGGUAUACCAAUAACAUUCAGACCAGAGUUAUUGAUUUUUCCUCCUGUAUCUAUCUCUAGUUAUUGUGAUAGGUUAUUCAGUCUCUUAACUGUCUCAGGUUUAAGGCACUUUCCAUUACAUUUUCAGAAAAUCUCUCCUGAGGCAAUGUUUUUUAUUAAUAUAUUCUGACAUUGCUGGUGAAAUGUGUCUAUCAAUUCUGCACACUAUAUCAAGUUAGAACUUUUUAGCCAUCAUCUCUGACACGGCUGCUCCAAAACUAUUAAUUUAGAAAAAGGUUCAGAGGGAUAAACUUGAAUCUAAGUGUUUCUGAGGUAGCUACUGCCACCUACAGGCUUAAAUAUUAGGCUCUGUUGGAAAAUUUGGGAUGCAACUAAGAAACUUCCUUUCACAUUUGGAAGCUGCGGUAGUAUUCUCAGAAAGUACAGCCCUCCAAUUAAUAAGUAAAACUACUGAUUUUGGCUUCUGAUGACUUUUAGAAACUAUCUGCAUGUAAAAUUAUUUCCAGCUCUAUCAAUAUAUCAUUGGUUUAUUUUAUCUCCAAUCUUUUAUUGUCUAUUAGGAAAUCUAUGUAAGGCAGGGUUCCAAACUACUGCUGAAUGAACUAUUGCUUUAU